rnacentral:lncRNA from 13 species
CUUUUGAAAAAAAGUUCAUUUAAAUUAUGUCACCUGUUAUUGAGGGUUGUUAAAAGGCAAAGCAAUAAUAGAAAAUAAAUGUCAAAAAGUGUUUGGGAAAAUAUGACACGAAAUUGAUACCUACUAUUUAAGGCUAUUUUUGAGUUGGGUGUUCUGUUUUAACUAGCUGUCACCCUUAGAGAUAGAACUUUAUGCCUUUGCUGCAGUUUCAUAAGUACAAAGCAUGUCAUAGUAGGUAAGAAUUCAAGAGACUGCUUAGAGGGCAUACUUUGCAGCUUACUAGAAAAAUGCCCUGAGUCAAGUUAAGACUGUUUUCCUAAAGGCUUGAUUCUUGAGUGACAGCGAAUUCCCUCUGGAACGGAGUGCUUAUGGCUUUUGCUGACUUGUACUUCCUCAGAACUUCACAUGGUGCCUGACACAAAAUGCAAUCAACAAAUAUGAGGAACGAAAUUGGAUACAUGUGUGAAAGGGGAAAUGUAUGUGACAGCCAGGUCAUUGUUUUACUCAGGAAAACUGUAGCUCUUCUGGAAUCUCCACUCAACCAAUACAACUUGGAUGCCAAAAUUAGAUUGCAGCACCAUCCCCACAGGCAAGGAAUUCUGAAGAGGAACGCUUUUGGUUUUAAAAUGGACACAUUGCCAUCCUCAACAAUAUAAGUUUGGGGUAAGAGGUAAAAUUCUAAAUGUUGGGUAAUAAAGUAGCAGUGUUUACCCCUUGAGCUACA